AUGGAAGGGGGCCGGGUGGAGACGCCUGGGGACCUCGGUAGCAGAAGACAGUCCUCAGAAAGCUGCGACGCCAAGAGACUCAACACUCCAGAGAAAAGACUCAGGGCAAGGUUGGCCUCAGCUCAUAAGACCUUUGCAAAUUUUUUUGAGUCAAGAGUUUUAGAAAAAGAGAACACUGGUGAAUGUUCUUCAUGCCCUUCCAAGGACCAGAAGGAAAAGAGCAGGUUGCGCCAGACUUCCUGGCGCACUUUCCUGAAAAGCAAAGAUGCCCAAGGCUCCAAAAGGUCCUCCUUAGUAAGUCUGAUUCCAGGACCAGAAAUCUUGAAUACUCCCAGCCGUUUCCCACCAGAGACCAAUAGCCACUGUGAGAACACAGUGGUGGAACACAAGGAGAGCUAUGUUUUUAGAGAUCACUGGACACCCACACAUUGCCCCAUACCUUUGUCAUCCAGCAAUUUGGCUUCUUCAGAUAACAGGAGAAAAAGUGAACCAACUAUCAAAUGUACAAGCACCCAGGAAAGUGGUGAAUACAUACCUCCGAGUACCUUUCCUGAAAAGUCUUGGCCUUUGUCACCCACCAGUCCUGGGAGGCAGCAGGCUGGGAUCAGCCGCACCCUUCCCUCAAGCUCCACCUGUUGCCUGGCACAUGGAAGCCAAAGUGUGCCCUGUAAGCCCCUGAGCCCCAAGCCCCAGAGUCUCAGGCCUGGUGCCCAGCGCACAGAUUUCCACUACCCUGAAAAGGGUAGGGCCAUCUCAGUGGUUUCUCUUGGAAGCUACAGCCAUGUGGACACCAGCUCAGAGGCCCCUGGAAACCCCAAGAUGUCCCAGGCCUGGAUAAGCCUCCUGCUUUCUCUGCAGGCAUUAGACCAGGGCGAGCAGAAGGAAGAGAGCAGGAAAAGAAGCCAGCAUCCCUGUGGCAUAAGCACAGCACCCUCACUGAAGAACCUUCUUGGGAGUGAGAAUCACAUGCUGUGGGAAGAACAACCAGGCAGAAAGCCCAGUUGCUUCCAAGGUCUGAAAACUUUUCACACUGAGCCAGCUCCGGGGCCAUUCUCUACAGCUGAGGUGGGGACAUGGAUUCUUCCCUUCAUUUCUGCAGAAGACAUCCCCCGGGAGACUCCUUCACAACCCAGGAGUAUCCCUCAGCACUCACACAUCAGUUUAGAUGACCUGUGGCUGGAGAAGACGCAGAGGAGGAAGUUGAAGAAGCAGGCCCAGUUUGAAAGGAAGACUCAUGCACACAAAGAUGGAGUGCAAUGUUGGAGGAAGAUGAUCAUUACCUCUCCAGAGUCUUUGAAUCUCCCUGGAAGAAGCCAUCCAUUCUCGCAGAGUGCCCCGACAGGAUUGAACCACAUGGGCUGGCCAGAGUCCACACCUGACAUUGCCCUCCCUGAUGGAGCUCUGGACACAGCCCUCCGUGGAGAUGAGGCGGGCAGUGAGGAGGACCUGUAUGAGGAUGUGCACAGCUCCAGCCACCACUACAGCCACACUGGAGGGGGCGGCGAGCAGUUGGCCAUCAACGAGCUCAUCAGCGAUGGCAGUGUGGUCUGUGCCGAAGCGCUCUGGGACCAUGUCACCAUGGAUGACCAGGAACUGGGCUUCAAAGCUGGAGAUGUCAUCGAAGUGAUGGACGCCACCAACAGAGAGUGGUGGUGGGGCCGCGUCGCUGACGGCGAGGGCUGGUUUCCAGCGAACUUUGUGCGGCUGCGGGUGAACCAGGACGAGCCUGCAGACGAUGAGGCGCUGGGGCCUGGGCAUGGAGGGGCUGGGGACGGCGGGGGCACCGAGGCACAGGGCAGCAGGGACCAGAUGCGGACCAAUGUCAUCAACGAGAUCCUCAGCACGGAGCGAGACUACAUCAAGCACCUGCGAGACAUCUGCGAGCAAGCAGACUUCCAGAUCUACUCAGAGUACUGCAACAACCACCCCAAUGCCUGCGUGGAGCUCUCACGCCUCGCCAAGCUCAGCAAGUACGUGUACUUCUUCGAGGCCUGCCGGCUGCUGCAGAAGAUGAUUGACAUCUCCCUGGAUGGCUUCCUGCUGACGCCUGUGCAGAAGAUCUGCAAGUACCCUCUGCAACUGGCAGAGCUGCUCAAGUACACACACCCCCAGCACAGGGAUUUCAAGGACGUGGAAGCUGCCUUACAUGCCAUGAAGAAUGUGGCCCAGCUCAUCAAUGAACGGAAACGGAGACUUGAAAACAUCGACAAGAUUGCUCAGUGGCAAAGCUCUAUAGAGGACUGGGAGGGGGAAGAUCUCCUGGUCAGGAGCUCGGAACUCAUCCACUCGGGGGAGCUGACCCGUGUCACACAGCCACAAGCCAAGAGCCAGCAGAGAAUGUUUUUUCUCUUUGACCACCAGCUCAUCUACUGUAAGAAGGACCUUCUCCGCCGGGAUGUGCUCUACUAUAAGGGCCGAGUGGACAUGGACAGCCUGCAGGUGGUGGACUUGGAGGACGGGAAGGACAGAGAGCUCCAUGUGAGCGUCAGGAACGCCUUCCGGCUGCGCUGUGGCCCCUCGGGCGAGAGCCACCUGCUGUGUGCCAAGAAGCCCGAGCAGAAGCAGCGCUGGCUCAAGGCCUUUGCCAGGGAGCGGGAGCAGGUGCGGCUGGACCAGGAGACAGGCUUCUCCAUUACCCAGCUGCAGAGGAAGCAGGCCAUGCUGAACGCCAGCAAGCAGCAGGCCAUUGGGAAGCCCAGAGCCCUCGGCCGACCCUACUACCUGGCACGUCAGAAGCAUCCGACCCUCCCCACCAGCCUGCCUCAGCAACAGGUCCUGGUGCUGGCAGAGCCCAAGCGAAAGCCAUCCACCUUCUGGCACAGCAUCAGCCGGCUGGCACCCUUCCGCAAGUGAGCCCGUGCCCCACUAGUGGCACCAUCUGGACCUGCCUUGCCGGUGGGCCUCCAGCUCUUCCUAUCCGAGGCUCACCACAUCCGGCCCUCUGUCUGUUCUGCAAACUGCAAGUUAGCAGGGCUGAGUGUGGGAUCCGCUCAGUGCCCGCAUUCUCAGUUUCCUCCCCAGUGCUGGGGUGCUGAAGAAGUUGGCUGGAGAGGCAGGCCCCCGGCACGUGAACCUCCCACACCCUCCAAGCCUGUGCCGGGCUUCCUGGGAGCCACAGCUCAGAACCACCCAACAGGCCAGCGUGUGUGAGAAUGGCUGCUCUGGACCCUCUUCUUUGCACAUCUAAUCAUCCUUCCUGCUCCUGUUUCCUCUGGGCAGGAGACCGCCUCUGCCUUCAGUCACCUGCAGAGCCAGGCUGUGUACCUCUCUGCCCUCCUGCCCUCUUCACAGGCCCCCAGCUGGUGGGCCAGGCAACCUGCACCCCUGGUGGGCAGGAACCAAGAAUUCUGGGCACAGAAACAUCUGGCCUGGAGCCCACCUGUUACUUCCUCCCAGUCACUCUGUAGACACUCCCAGCUGCUGGACAUCCUCUCUUCCCUUGUGAUGUGUUUGUUUAUAGUGGAAAGAAAACAGAACCAUAGUCAACUGAAAACUUCUGUCAGGAUUUGUAACCAGUCCACCUGCAGCUGUGGGAUGAUUCUAUAACCUGGUUCCAGUUUGGAUUUUGUUGUUAAAUUCCAACAAUAGAGAAUUGUUAGUGACACAGAAAGAUUGCCUUACCCUGAGUGAGUGUGAGAAGCCAUAAGGACUGAAUUCUGUGGCCCAGCACCCAGGACUGACCCACCCAGAAGCUGGUGGGCACGUAGGUUGGAAGGAAGCCUACAUCCCAUGGAGGAGGGGCACCGAAGAGGGUGGCCAGGGCCUGGCAUGGGGCAGAGCACAGAGCCGCCCCUGUGGCCCGUGGGAAUUCAGCAGCAUGUACAGUCACUCUUGCACUAUACCUUCUCCAAGCAGAAACCACAUUUAAUUUCAUAAAGAAACCUGUGAAAAAUAACCUGGCUGCCAGCCCUUGUUUUCUAUUGUCUAUCCAUUUUCUCCUCCCCUCCUAUUACCUUUCCACCUCAAGCCUUUCUUUAGACUAAAGGAAUAAGCCAGGCCGCCAAGGCUUUGGUGGAGAGCAGCUCAGUGUUCAGAGGCUCAGGGAAACUAGGAGCUGUCUCAGCACCUCUGUCCCCAGCUGCUUCUAGGGUCUCUGUUGAGCUGAACUUAUCAGAAAUGUGAGUUUGGGGGACAGGCAGUGCUAAUGUUUUGGGGUCUGAGCUUCCCCUUUGGUGAAAUGGGGAAGGAUGUGUUUUCUUUCCAGGAGGACUGAGCCGACAGGACCAGGAGAGGGUGGCUUCCCUCCCCUUCCCCACAACCCGCCGCCUUCACACUUGUACACACUGCCACGGCCACAGGGGCUGAGCCGGAACCCCCUGGAUUUUCUAAGGUGAGACACACUACACCACCUCCCAUCCAGGCCAAGCCACCUGGAGGCAAAACCUAUAGGGAAAAGGCAUGAAAAUCGUAAUAUGCAACACAAGUCAAUCUUUAUUGAAAACUGCAGUAUUAAUACAUAACAAUUUACAAUAAACGUGCUUUUAAGAAUUUUAAAUCUGAGUUC
rnacentral:lncRNA from 1 species